rnacentral:lncRNA from 1 species
AUGGUAGCAGCACUCAGCCAUCCAGAGUUCCAUCCCCUCAAACUAGCCAAUCGACAUAUAUCACUUCUGUUAUACGCAGAUGAUGCAGUCCUAAUUUCACAGAUACCAAUAGGACUUAAGAGAGCUUUAUAUGCUCUCGCACAAUACUGUAAAGAAGAAAUGCUACAGAUAAAUUACUCGAAGACCAAAGUGUUAGUGUUCGCUCAGAGGCCCAGGAUCUAUAAGUGGUUAAUAGAUGAGCAUGAGAUUGAACAAAUUAAGGCCUAUAAAUAUUUGGGCGUUGUUUUCCAAUAUAAAGGAAACCACAAGGCCCAUGUUAACAACGUGGUACAAGCAGCACAAAAAUCUAGCCUUACUAUACUAAAAUUCUUCUAUUCUAAGGGAGGCCAGUACAUUCCAGCUGCACUAAGAUUGUUUCAGGCCAAAUCCCUUAGUCAGCUCUUGUAUGGGGCACAAUUGGGCCCCUAUUCUUCGUUUAUCCAGUUAGAAGUAGUUCAGUCCAAAUUUGUGAGGGCUAUAUUACAAGUUCCAAGAGGGGUAUCUAAUGCAGCCCUCAGGCUUGAAGUGGGCUACCUGAAGGUUGAAGCCAGAGCUUGGCUGGCUAUUUUUAACUUUUGGCUAAAACUAACCUUUCAACCAAUUGGACUGACUUCACUGGUAUUACAGGAUAACCAUCAGUCACCUUGGAAGACAGCAAUAUACUAUAAAAUCAACAGAUACGACUAUUCAGUAGAAAGUAUCCAACAAAUGGGAUACGUUAAGGCCAAGAGUAAUCUUAGGCAGCGUAUUAUUGAGACAGAAAGGCAGCAGGAUCUUGCUAUUAUCAGAAAUAGGUUUACAGUUGACAACACAUUGCUCCCACUGAAACCAGCAAAAUAUCUCUACUUACCCCUAACACCUAAACAACACGAAGCUCUUACUUUGGCCCGCUUCAAUGCACUUCCGUCAGCAGUCCAGGAAGGGAAGUAUAACAACAACCCCUACACUAAGCUUUUAUGCCCCUGUAACUCUGGUGAGAUUGAAUCUUAUCUCCCAUGUAUUACUACAUUGUGCUUUUUAUUCUGA